GGUUAAGCGACUAAGCGUACACGGUGGAUGCCCUGGCAGUCAGAGGCGAUGAAGGACGUGCUAAUCUGCGAAAAGCGUCGGUAAGGUGAUAUGAACCGUUACAGCCGGCGAUGUCCGAAUGGGGAAACCCAGUGUGAUUCGUCACACUAUCGUUAACUGAAUACAUAGGUUAACGAGGCGAACCGGGGGAACUGAAACAUCUAAGUACCCCGAGGAAAAGAAAUCAACCGAGAUUCCCCCAGUAGCGGCGAGCGAACGGGGAGCAGCCCAGAGUCUGAAUCAGCUUGUGUGUUAGUGGAACGGUCUGGAAAGUCCGACGGUACAGGGUGAUAGUCCCGUACACCAAAAUGCACAGGUUGUGAACUCGAAGAGUAGGGCGGGACACGUGGUAUCCUGUCUGAAUAUGGGGGGACCAUCCUCCAAGGCUAAAUACUCCUGACUGACCGAUAGUGAACCAGUACCGUGAGGGAAAGGCGAAAAGAACCCCGGCGAGGGGAGUGAAAAAGAACCUGAAACCGUGUACGUACAAGCAGUGGGAGCACCCUUUAGGGUGUGACUGCGUACCUUUUGUAUAAUGGGUCAGCGACUUAUAUUCUGUAGCAAGGUUAACCGUAUAGGGGAGCCGCAGGGAAACCGAGUCUUAACUGGGCGUUAAGUUGCAGGGUAUAGACCCGAAACCCGGUGAUCUAGCCAUGGGCAGGUUGAAGGUUGGGUAACACUAACUGGAGGACCGAACCGACUAAUGUUGAAAAAUUAGCGGAUGACUUGUGGCUGGGGGUGAAAGGCCAAUCAAACCGGGAGAUAGCUGGUUCUCCCCGAAAGCUAUUUAGGUAGCGCCUCGUGAAUUCAUCUUCGGGGGUAGAGCACUGUUUCGGCUAGGGGGUCAUCCCGACUUACCAACCCGAUGCAAACUACGAAUACCGAAGAAUGUUAUCACGGGAGACACACGGCGGGUGCUAACGUCCGUCGUGAAGAGGGAAACAACCCAGACCGCCAGCUAAGGUCCCAAAGUCACAGUUAAGUGGGAAACGAUGUGGGAAGGCACAGACAGCCAGGAUGUUGGCUUAGAAGCAGCCAUCAUUUAAAGAAAGCGUAAUAGCUCACUGGUCGAGUCGGCCUGCGCGGAAGAUGUAACGGGGCUAAACUGUGCACCGAAGCUGCGGCAGCGACACUAUGUGUUGUUGGGUAGGGGAGCGUUCUGUAAGCCUGCGAAGGUGGCCUGUGAGGGUUGCUGGAGGUAUCAGAAGUGCGAAUGCUGACAUAAGUAACGAUAAUGCGGGUGAAAAGCCCGCACGCCGGAAGACCAAGGGUUCCUGUCCAACGUUAAUCGGGGCAGGGUGAGUCGACCCCUAAGGCGAGGCCGAAAGGCGUAGUCGAUGGGAAACAGGUUAAUAUUCCUGUACUUGGUGUUACUGCGAAGGGGGGACGGAGAAGGCUAUGUUAGCCGGGCGACGGUUGUCCCGGUUUAAGCAUGUAGGCGGAGGUUCCAGGUAAAUCCGGUACCUUUUAACGCUGAGGUGUGAUGACGAGGCACUACGGUGCUGAAGUAACAAAUGCCCUGCUUCCAGGAAAAGCCUCUAAGCAUCAGGUAACAUUGAAUCGUACCCCAAACCGACACAGGUGGUCAGGUAGAGAAUACCAAGGCGCUUGAGAGAACUCGGGUGAAGGAACUAGGCAAAAUGGUGCCGUAACUUCGGGAGAAGGCACGCUGAUAUGUAGGUGAAGCCCCUGCGGGUGGAGCUGAAAUCAGUCGAAGAUACCAGCUGGCUGCAACUGUUUAUUAAAAACACAGCACUGUGCAAACACGAAAGUGGACGUAUACGGUGUGACGCCUGCCCGGUGCCGGAAGGUUAAUUGAUGGGGUUAUCCGUAAGGAGAAGCUCUUGAUCGAAGCCCCGGUAAACGGCGGCCGUAACUAUAACGGUCCUAAGGUAGCGAAAUUCCUUGUCGGGUAAGUUCCGACCUGCACGAAUGGCGUAAUGAUGGCCAGGCUGUCUCCACCCGAGACUCAGUGAAAUUGAACUCGCUGUGAAGAUGCAGUGUACCCGCGGCAAGACGGAAAGACCCCGUGAACCUUUACUAUAGCUUGACACUGAACAUUGAGCCUUGAUGUGUAGGAUAGGUGGGAGGCUUUGAAGCGUGGACGCCAGUCUGCGUGGAGCCAACCUUGAAAUACCACCCUUUAAUGUUUGAUGUUCUAACGUUGGCCCCUAAUCGGGGUUGCGGACAGUGUCUGGUGGGUAGUUUGACUGGGGCGGUCUCCUCCCAAAGAGUAACGGAGGAGCACGAAGGUUAGCUAAUCCUGGUCGGACAUCAGGAGGUUAGUGCAAUGGCAUAAGCUAGCUUGACUGCGAGCGUGACGGCGCGAGCAGGUGCGAAAGCAGGUCAUAGUGAUCCGGUGGUUCUGAAUGGAAGGGCCAUCGCUCAACGGAUAAAAGGUACUCCGGGGAUAACAGGCUGAUACCGCCCAAGAGUUCAUAUCGACGGCGGUGUUUGGCACCUCGAUGUCGGCUCAUCACAUCCUGGGGCUGAAGUAGGUCCCAAGGGUAUGGCUGUUCGCCAUUUAAAGUGGUACGCGAGCUGGGUUUAGAACGUCGUGAGACAGUUCGGUCCCUAUCUGCCGUGGGCGCUGGAGAAUUGAGGGGGGCUGCUCCUAGUACGAGAGGACCGGAGUGGACGCAUCACUGGUGUUCGGGUUGUCAUGCCAAUGGCAUUGCCCGGUAGCUAAAUGCGGAAGAGAUAAGUGCUGAAAGCAUCUAAGCACGAAACUUGCCCCGAGAUGAGUUCUCCCUGAGACUUUAAGUCUCCUGAAGGAACGUUAAAGACGAUGACGUUGAUAGGUCGGGUGUGUAAGCGUAGCGAUACGUUGAGCUAACCGAUACUAAUGAACCGUGAGGCUUAACCUU
rnacentral:rRNA from 1 species